rnacentral:rRNA from 1 species
UACAGAGGUCUCAAGCGUUUGUUCGGAUUCAUUGGGCGUAAAGGGUGUGUAGGUGGCGCCGUAAGUCGGGUGUGAAAUUUCGGAGCUUAACUCCGAAACUGCAUUCGAUACUGCCGUGCUUGAGGACUGGAGAGGAGACUGGAAUUUACGGUGUAGCGGUGAAAUGCGUAGAUAUCGUAAGGAAGACCAGUGGCGAAGGCGGGUCUCUGGACAGUUCCUGACGCUGAGGCACGAAGGCCAGGGGGAGCAAAACGGGG